UACAGAGGUGGCAAGCGUUGUUCGGAAUUACUGGGCGUAAAGGGCGCGUAGGCGGCCUUCUAAGUCAGACGUGAAAUCCCUCGGCUUAACCGGGGAACUGCAUCUGAUACUGGAUGGCUUGAGUUCGGGAGAGGGAUGCGGAAUUCCAGGUGUAGCGGUGAAAUGCGUAGAUAUCUGGAGGAACACCGGUGGCGAAGGCGGCAUCCUGGACCGACACUGACGCUGAGGAGCGAAAGCCAGGGGAGCAAACGGG
rnacentral:rRNA from 1 species